GACGAACGCUGGCGGCGUGCUUAACACAUGCAAGUCGAACGGUAAGGCCCUUCGGGGUACACGAGUGGCGAACGGGUGAGUAACACGUGGGUGAUCUGCCCUGCACUUCGGGAUAAGCCUGGGAAACUGGGUCUAAUACCGGAUAGGACUCCUGGCUUCAUGGUUGGGGGUGGAAAGCUUUUGCGGUGUGGGAUGGGCCCGCGGCCUAUCAGCUUGUUGGUGGGGUAAUGGCCUACCAAGGCGGCGACGGGUAGCCGGCCUGAGAGGGUGACCGGUCACACUGGGACUGAGAUACGGCCCAGACUCCUACGGGAGGCAGCAGUGGGGAAUAUUGCACAAUGGGCGCAAGCCUGAUGCAGCGACGCCGCGUGAGGGAUGACGGCCUUCGGGUUGUAAACCUCUUUCAGCUAUGACGAAGCGCAAGUGACGGUAGUAGCAGAAGAAGGACCGGUCAACUACGUGCCAGCAGCCGCCGUAAAAC
rnacentral:rRNA from 1 species